rnacentral:rRNA from 1 species
GAUGAACGCUGGCGGCGUGCCUAAUACAUGCAAGUCGAGCGAACAGACGCGGAGUUUGUUUCUUUGACAUUAGCGGCGGACGGGUGAGUAACAAGCGGAUAACCUACCUGUCUGUCUGGGAUAAAUAACGGAAACAGGAGCUUACUACGGACGCAUUUUUGAUACAUAUGGUAUAAUAAUGAAAGAAGGUUUUCAUGCCGCUAAUAGAUGGCUUCGCGCCUCAUUAGCUAGUUGGUAAGGUAACGGCUUACCAAGGCGACGAUGAGUAGCCGACCUGAGAGGGGGAUCGGCCGCCCGAGAGCUGGGACGCGCGCCAGGCUCCUGAGUGAGGCAGCAGUCAGGAAUCUUCGGCAGUGGGCGGGAGCAUAACGGGGCAACGGCACGAAAGUGAGAAAGAGUGUCGGAGCGUAAAGCUCGAUUAUUAGCGGAGAACAAAUUUUUGAGGUACUGUACACGACUUGACGGUACCUAAUCAGAAAGCCACGGCUAACUACGUG